AAAUGCGAUAAGUAAUGUGAAUUGCAGAAUUCAGUGAAUCAUCGAAUCUUUGAACGCACCUUGCGCUCCUUGGUAUUCCUUGGAGCAUGCCUGUUUGAGUAUCAUGAAAUCUUCAAAGUAAAUCUUUUGUUAAAUCAAUUGGUUUCUACUUUGGUAUUGGAGGUCUUUGCAGCUUCACACCUGCUCCUCUUUGUUCAUUAGCUGGAUCUCAGUGUUAUGCUUGGUUCCACUCGGCGUGAUAAGUUAUCUAUCGCUGAGGACACUGUAAAAGGUGGCCAAGGUAAAUGCAGAUGAACCGCUUCUAAUAGUCCAUUGACUUGGACAAUACUUUUAUGAUCUGAUCUCAAAUCAGGUAGGACUACCCGCUGAACUUAAGC
rnacentral:misc_RNA from 1 species